rnacentral:lncRNA from 1 species
UGGUGACGUCAUCGUCUCCCAAUGCCACGUCAUACGCCCGCCCCGACCGCCGCUUUUCUGCCUGGACGGCUUGUGCCGCCUGUAGCUGCUGCCAGAUGCUCUGCGCAAGAUAAAUGUGGCAGCGUGUCAGCAUUACAUGUCUGAAAUGAGAUAGAAUCAGCAAUGCCUCUCACUUGGUAACUUGCAGGAACCCCCUAGCAGAGUAUCUCAGGUUUUCAUCUGCAUGCUGAAUAAACUGAGCACCGUGCCCACGGCUGAUUGGGCCUAGCUUCAAUCUGGCUAGUCCAACAAGGGGUAGGAUUGUGGCAGCCUUGACCUGCUGCUUGUCUAAAGACACAUCUUGCCUAUGGCAGGAACUGCAUGCAUCUAUAGAAGUACAAUGAAGGUCCUGCCAGUUUUUGUGCUGCCCACAUCGCCAGAUCAGGCGUACCUCUUGGAGUGCUGCCCCGCGCGUUCCGUCCCAGAGCUCCCUCCUGUGCGCGAGAGACAGCUCCACCUCUUUGGCUUCGCUGAUGCCCAGUUCAGCCUCGUGGCUCUCCUUGUAGCCGUGCUGCAGCGCCGCCGCGCUCA